CCAGAUUGUGCUUCUUCCCCAGCUCCUGGAUACAUCGACACACCGCCGUUCAGAACCCACUCCAACUCGUGCAGUUCGACGGCCUCACGGAGGUACGUACCCUGAAUCCAAACACGUUUCUUCUACCUACUAGCUUCUCCGAACCUCUCAAAUCUGGUGCAGCUCAACGAAUCCUCAAAUCAAGCGUCAGAUUUCAGCCAUAUAAUUAUAUAUGUACGCCAGAUCUAGCCUCAGAUUCGAGCUAUUGAUUUGAGGAAUUUAAUCAUUUAUUUCCCCUUUAAUUAGUUAUAAAUUAGUUUGAAGACAGCCAUACAUUUCCAUAAAUUCUGAACUUUUUACUACUAAGAUUGAGUGGAAUACAUGGGAUGAUUAGCAUUGGCUCUGUUUUCCGUUGAAAUACAUGUAAUAUUUCCACCUAAUCUCUACCAGUCUCUAAUUUUGCUAUGUAAUGAGCACUGUGUUUAUACUUAUCUCCACACACACACACACAGAUAGCCUAUGCACAACAGAACUAAGAUUGCCUUCGAGUGCUUGUUGUGUUGACUGUGAGCUGCUGGGUGAAGGUAUGGUUUUCUGCUUGCCUUAACAAUUCAGAUGUUGAAAUGCUGUUUCAGUAUAAGUGUUAAUUUUCUUUGUAUUUCCUAGGUUUCUUUUUACUGUCUUACUAUCCAGCACCAUAAAAUGUCGAUCUAUAAUUUGUCUGUCCAUACCUCUGGAUUUUAUUCUAUUUUGUCAUGUUAGCAUUUAGGAAGCAGCAUUGAGCACUUGCAUUGCUAGUACUAGGAACAUCAUCAGUGAAACAGAGUGAUUGGCAACAAGAAGUUGAGGUUAUCACUCGACUUGGUUCAGUAGUUGUGGUGUUGGUUCAUGAUUUAGACCUAACUUGUGGCCUUGCCCCCUACUUUUUCUUUAUUGUACUAAGCUGCGAAAGCUUUUUUACUGAUUGUUUUAACUCAUCACAAUACUCCAAAUAGAAGCAACAAUGAUAAGAUUUCUCCUUUCACGUGUUUUGCAGAAAGUAGCCUCCAUGCCUAUUAAAUCUUGGUCCUGUUUUAUACAGAGGCUUUCAUCUACUGAGAAGCACAUCGAUGGAGAAAUAAGACAAUCGUUAUAGGCAAUCUGUUUCACUGUUUCAGGUACAUGCUUUGUACUGAUUGAAACAUAUGAGCAAGGUUGCUACAAAUUAUGUUCCAUAUGUAUGAUUCCCAGCUCCAUCUAUUAAUUUGCAGAUUGAUAUAUCAUUAGUUCCAAUUUCUGUACAUAUUCAUGCAAUGAUUAAUUUUGAUACAAGUUUUUGAUAUUGCGAGAUCAUGCUACACUAGUAUGCUCAACAACAUCUGAUAUGUACCUAGACAUUAUAUUUUAGGGUGAAAUGUAUGCUCUGUUAAUAACAAGUAGCUUUACUAGUUAUCUAGAUGCUACUCAAAAUUGUAAGCAGUCGACACUAGUCUAAAGUGCAGCACAGAUCCAUAUAAAUGACAGAGACUUAAACUCCCUGUUAUUCUUGAGCGGUUUGCAAAUUAGGUUGAGCUGUAUGCUGAUUCUCCAUUUUCUUUGUUUAUUGUUUAUCCAACACAUGUAGAAAUAUAAUGUAUUUUUAUCUGUGUUCUUCAUUGCAGAACUGUUAUAUUGAACAGGUGCAUCCUUUCGAGGUUAGGUAUUACUAUUUUCUCAAAACAACAUUACUCAUGCAUUUGUUGUCAUCAUUUUAUACAAUUCUGUAUCUUAUAGUUCUGCUCAGUUAUUAUGUGAUAAUUUUAAAGGGAUGGUGUCAAGGUUUAGCAAUGUUAAUUUGAGAAAUUGAGAUGCUGAAUAUGUUCUUAUACUGUAUCACAUAGAUAUGUGGUCCUAGUUGCAAUCUUUUAGCAAUUGACACUUGACAAAAAAUGAGUCUAUUCUUUUUUUAGCACAUCAUUGAGUCUAUUUGGUGCAGGCUAAUCUGAAAGAGAAGCCCGCAAUCCAAGCUGCGAUUGAGUGACAAGUGAGGUCCUGUUUCUGUGUAUGUAGUUAAAGAACUUGUGUGUUAAAUGUGCUCCUCUGUUUCAGUGACUUUCAACCGUUGUAUGUUGAUUAUAGACAGAUUUGUAUAUGAAGUAGAUACAUGUGAUUAUUGUAACCAAUUCAGUUGUGUAUGUUCUAGAUUUGUUGUGAAAUGGAUCAAUUUUGUGAAAAGUAUUUCUAUCAUUUUUAUUUUUUUUGUCC
rnacentral:lncRNA from 1 species